UACGAAGGUGGCAAGCGUUGUUCGGAUUUACUGGGCGUACAGGGCGCGUAGGCGGUUGGGUAAGCCCUCCGUGAAAUCUUUGGGCCUAACCCGGAAAGUGCGGAGGGGACUGCUCGGCUAGAGGAUGGGAGAGGAGCGCGGAAUUCCCGGUGUAGCGGUGAAAUGCGUAGAGAUCGGGAGGAAGGCCGGUGGCGAAGGCGGCGCUCUGGAACAUUUCUGACGCUGAGGCUCGAAAGCGUGGGGAGCAAACAGG
rnacentral:rRNA from 1 species